UGCAUGUCUAAGUACAAGCCAUAUUAUGGUGAAACCGCGAAUGGCUCAUUAAAUCACACCUAAUCUACUGGAAUGUUAGCAGUUACUUGGAUAACUGAGGUAAUUCUUGAGCUAAUACAUGCGAAAAAUCCCGACUCACGAAGGGAUGCUUUUAUUAGAUCAAAACCAAACAGCUUCGGCUGUAACACUGGUGACUCUGAAUAACUUUGGGCUGAUCGCAUUGCCUUGAGCAGGCGACAUUUCCUUCGAAGGUGUGCCCUAUCAACUGUCGACUGUGAUAUAGACGCUCACAGUGGUUUUGACGGGUAACGGGGAAUCAGGGUUCGAUUCCGGAGAGGGAGCCUUAAAAACGGCUACCACAUCCAAGGAAGGCAGCAGGCACGCAAAUUACCCAAUGAACGAAGUUCGAGGUAGUGACGAAAAAUAACAAUACAAGACUCAUCCGAGGCCUUGUAAUUGGAAUGAGUACACUUUAAAACCGUUUCACGAGGAUCUAUUGGAGGGCAAGUCUGGUGCCAGCAGCCGCGGUAAUUCCAGCUCCAAUAGCGUAUAUUAAAGUUGUUGUGGUUAAAAAGCUCGUAGUUGGAUUUCGGCGGGUAUUGGUUGGUUUGAAUUGCUUCAACACUGACUUUUUUACCCGUGUGUUUUGCCAGAAUUUAGCGGGUGAUCUUCGCCGAUUGUCCGUUGGAACUGGUAGGUUUACUUUGAAAAAAUUAGAGUGCUCAAAGCAAGCUUACUGCUUGAAUAGUUGCGCAUGGAAUAAUAGAAUAGGAAGUCGUUUCUAUUUUGUUGGUUUUCGGAAAUCGACUUAAUGAUUAAUAGGGAUAGUCGGGGGCAUUCGUAUUCAAACGACAGAGGUGAAAUUCUUGGACCGUUUGAAGACGAACUAAGGCGAAAGCAUUUGCCAAGAAUGUUUUCAUUAAUCAAGAACGAAAGUUAGAGGUUCGAAGGCGAUUAGAUACCGCCCUAGUUCUAACCAUAAACGAUGCCAGCUAGCGAUCUGCCGGCGUUUAAUUUUCUGACUUGGCAGGGAGCUUCCGGGAAACCAAAGCUUGUGGGUUCCAGGGGAAGUAUGGUUGCAAAGCUGAAACUUAAAGUAAUUGACGGAAGGGCACCACCAGGAGUGGAGCCUGUGGCUUAAUUUGACUCAACACGGGAAAUCUCACCAGGCCCGGACACUAGUAGGAUUGACAGAUUGAUAGCUCUUUCUUGAUUUGGUGGGUGGUGGUGCAUGGCCGUUCUUAGUUGGUGGAGUGAUUUGUCUGGUUAAU
rnacentral:rRNA from 1 species